AUCGAACGCUGGCGGCAGGCCUAACACAUGCAAGUCGCGCGGAGCGGCGGACGGGUGAGUAAAGCCUAGGAAUCCGCCUGGUUGUGGGGGAUAACGUCCGGAAACGGGCGUUAAUACCGCAUACUAUCAGAUCAGCCUAGGCCGUAUUAGCUGGUUGGUGGGGUAAAGGCCUACCAGGGCGACGAACCGUAACUGGUCUGAGAGGAUGAUCAGGCACACUGGAACUGAGAAACGGUCCAAACUCCUACGGGAGGCAGCAUGGGUGAAUAUUGGACAAGGGGGGAAAGCCUGAUGCAGCCAUGCCGCGUGUAUGAGGAAGGCCUUCGGUUUGUAAAGUACUUUCAGCGGGGAGGCGUUACCCGCAGAAGAAGCACCGGCUAACUCCGUGCCAGCAGCCGCGGUAAUUC
rnacentral:rRNA from 1 species